rnacentral:rRNA from 1 species
AUGAGCCAAAAGAGAUACCACCAGACCCAUGAUCAUGUAAUACCUCUUCUGGAGGGAGCUGAGCCGAUUAAUCUUAGGUCGUAUAGAUACUCGCACGAUCAAAAGGCAGCCAUUGAAAAGCUGGUCAAUGAAAUGCUAGCAGCUGCUGUGAUUAGGCCAAGCUCAAGUCCUUUGCCCUUUUCAAGUCCUGUACCUGUAGGUAGGAUGGGUGGGAGUUGGCGAUUGUGUAUAGGCCUUACCAUUAAUAAAAAUAUCCCAUUCCUUUCGUGGAUGAACUCUUGGAAGAGGGUAGUCCCAAAUGAAAAAAAGCCAUUUAUCGAUCCCAAGAAGCAAGUGAAUUAG